rnacentral:sRNA from 1 species
UGGUAUAAAUAGUUAUAACAAAAAAUAU